rnacentral:rRNA from 1 species
GACGAACACUGGCGGCGUGCUUAACACAUGCAAGUCGAACGAUGAAGCUGGAGCUUGCUCUGGCGGAUUAGUGGCGAACGGGUGAGUAACACGUGAGCAAUCUUCCCUUGACUCUGGGAUAACUGCGGGAAACUGUAGCUAAUACCGGAUACGACACCUUCGGGCCUCCGAUGGGUGUGGAAAGAAUUUCGGUCAAGGAUGAACUCGCGGCCUAUCAGCUAGUUGGUGAGGUAAUGGCUCAACAAGGCGACGACGGGUAGCCGGCCUGAGAGGGUGACCGGCCACACUGGGACUGAGACACGGCCCAGACUCCUACGGGAGGCAGCAGUGGGGAAUAUUGCACAAUGGGCGAAAGCCUGAUGCAGCAACGCCGCGUGAGGGAUGAAGGCCUUCGGGUUGUAAACCUCUUUUAGUUGGGAAGAAGCGAAAGUGACGGUACCAACAGAAAAAGCACCGGCUAACUACGUGCCAGCCGCCGCAGUAA